UACGUAGGGUCCGAGCGUUGUCCGGAAUUAUUGGGCGUAAAGGGCUCGUAGGCGGUUUGUCACGUCGGGCGUGAAAACUCAGGGCUCAACCCUGAGCGUGCGUCCGAUACGGGCAGACUAGAGGUAUGCAGGGGAGAACGGAAUUCCUGGUGUAGCGGUGGAAAUGCGCAGGAUAUCAGGAGGAACACCGGUGGCGAAGGCGGUUCUCUGGGCAUGAUCCUGACGCUGAGG
rnacentral:rRNA from 1 species